rnacentral:rRNA from 1 species
CAAGCUGGAAACGGAUGCUAAUACCGAAUUACGCACUCGGAUGGCAUCAUCUGAAUGCCAAAGAUUUAUCGCUGAAAGAUGGCCUCGCGUCUGAUUAGCUAGUUGGCGGGGUAACGGCCCACCAAGGCGACGAUCAGUAGCCGGACUGAGAGGUUGAACGGCCACAUUGGGACUGAGAUACGGCCCAGACUCCUACGGGAGGCAGCAGUGGGGAAUAUUGGGCAAUGGGCGCAAGCCUGACCCAGCAACGCCGCGUGAAGGAAGAAGGCUUUCGGGUUGUAAACUUCUUUUAAGAGGGAAGAGCAGAAGACGGUACCUCUAGAAUAAGCCACGGCUAACUACGUGCCAGCAGCCGCGGUAAUACGUAGGUGGCAAGCGUUGUCCGGAUUUACUGGGUGUAAAGGGCGUGCAGCCGGGUCUGCAAGUCAGAUGUGAAAUCCAUGGGCUCAACCCAUGAACUGCAUUUGAAACUGUAGAUCUUGAGUGUCGGAGGGGCAAUCGGAAUUCCUAGUGUAGCGGUGAAAUGCGUAGAUAUUAGGAGGAACACCAGUGGCGAAGGCGGAUUGCUGGACGAUAACUGACGGUGAGGCGCGAAAGUGUGGGGAGCAAACAGGAUUAGAUACCCUGGUAGUCCACACUGUAAACGAUGAAUACUAGGUGUGCGGGGACUGACCCCCUGCGUGCCGCAGUAAACACAAUAAGUAUUCCACCUGGGGAGUACGAUCGCAAGGUUGAAACUCAAAGGAAUUGACGGGGGCCCGCACAAGCGGUGGAUUAUGUGGUUUAAUUCGAAGCAACGCGAAGAACCUUACCAGGGUUUGACAUCCUGCUAACGAAGUAGAGAUACAUUAGGUGCCCUUCGGGGAAAGCAGAGACAGGUGGUGCAUGGUUGUCGUCAGCUCGUGUCGUGAGAUGUUGGGUUAAGUCCCGCAACGAGCGCAACC